UUUUAUUUGAUCUUAUACUUUAUUUAUUUUGAAUUUAUAUAAAAUAUAUAUAGUUAAUAAAAUAUUAUAUUUUUCUGAAUAUGAUGUAAUUUAAAUUUUUUAAAACGGACAUAUAUUAUUCAACCUAUGAAGAAAUAAUAUAUGUACAAUGUCCCACAUCGCUUAGAAAAAUUGGACAAUGGUUCAGACCCAUAUUAUAAAAGGACCAAAAUGAUUCUGAUUACGAAUGAGCAGAAAGCUUGAUUUAUCAGGCGUCCAAAAUUAAAAUAGUUAUCCGAUUUUACUCGGAUUUUUUAUUUUAAAGAAUUGAAACUUUAAAAUAUUUCAAGAAAUUAUAAAUAUUAUAACUUUAUCAAAAGUUAAAUAUUAUAAUUUU
rnacentral:sRNA from 1 species